UGGGGAUAUUGCACAAUGGGCGAAAGCCUGAUGCAGCGACGCCGCGUGGGGGAUGAAGGCCUUCGGGUUGUAAACUUCUUUUGCUCUGAACAAGGCGCACCAUGGGGUGUGUUGAGUGUAGGGGUUGAUUAGCGCCGGCUAACUACGUGCCAGCAGCCGCGGUAAUACGUAGGGCGCGAGCGUUGUCCGGAAUUAUUGGGCGUAAAGGGCGUGUAGGUGGCUGGUUGCGUCUGUCGUGAAAGCUCAUGGCUUAACUGUGGGUUUGCGGUGGGUACGGGCUGGCUUGAGUGCAGUAGGGGAGGCUGGAAUUCCUGGUGUAGCGGUGGAAUGCGCAGAUAUCAGGAGGAAUACCGGUGGCGAAGGCGGGUCUCUGGGCUGUUACUGACACUGAGGAGCGAAAGCAUGGGGAGCGAACAGG
rnacentral:rRNA from 1 species